rnacentral:rRNA from 1 species
UUAAGCGACUAAGCGUACACGGUGGAUGCCCUGGCAGUCAGAGGCGAUGAAGGACGUGCUAAUCUGCGAAAAGCGUCGGUAAGGUGAUAUGAACCGUUAUAGCCGGCGAUGUCCGAAUGGGGAAACCCAGUGCAAUUCGUUGCACUAUCGUUAACUGAAUACAUAGGUUAACGAGGCGAACCGGGGGAACUGAAACAUCUAAGUACCCCGAGGAAAAGAAAUCAACCGAGAUUCCCCCAGUAGCGGCGAGCGAACGGGGAGCAGCCCAGAGUCUGAAUCAGCUUGUGUGUUAGUGGAACGGUCUGGAAAGUCCGACGGUACAGGGUGAUAGUCCCGUACACCAAAAUGCACAGGUUGUGAACUCGAAGAGUAGGGCGGGACACGUGGUAUCCUGUCUGAAUAUGGGGGGACCAUCCUCCAAGGCUAAAUACUCCUGACUGACCGAUAGUGAACCAGUACCGUGAGGGAAAGGCGAAAAGAACCCCGGCGAGGGGAGUGAAAAAGAACCUGAAACCGUGUACGUACAAGCAGUGGGAGCACCUUCGGGUGUGACUGCGUACCUUUUGUAUAAUGGGUCAGCGACUUAUAUUCUGUAGCAAGGUUAACCGUAUAGGGGAGCCGCAGGGAAACCGAGUCUUAACUGGGCGUUAAGUUGCAGGGUAUAGACCCGAAACCCGGUGAUCUAGCCAUGGGCAGGUUGAAGGUUGGGUAACACUAACUGGAGGACCGAACCGACUAAUGUUGAAAAAUUAGCGGAUGACUUGUGGCUGGGGGUGAAAGGCCAAUCAAACCGGGAGAUAGCUGGUUCUCCCCGAAAGCUAUUUAGGUAGCGCCUCGUGAACUCAUCUUCGGGGGUAGAGCACUGUUUCGGCUAGGGGGUCAUCCCGACUUACCAACCCGAUGCAAACUACGAAUACCGAAGAAUGUUAUCACGGGAGACACACGGCGGGUGCUAACGUCCGUCGUGAAGAGGGAAACAACCCAGACCGCCAGCUAAGGUCCCAAAGUCAUGGUUAAGUGGGAAACGAUGUGGGAAGGCACAGACAGCCAGGAUGUUGGCUUAGAAGCAGCCAUCAUUUAAAGAAAGCGUAAUAGCUCACUGGUCGAGUCGGCCUGCGCGGAAGAUGUAACGGGGCUAAACCAUGCACCGAAGCUGCGGCAGCGACACUAUGUGUUGUUGGGUAGGGGAGCGUUCUGUAAGCCUGCGAAGGUGACCUGUGAGGGUUGCUGGAGGUAUCAGAAGUGCGAAUGCUGACAUAAGUAACGAUAAAGCGGGUGAAAAGCCCGCUCGCCGGAAGACCAAGGGUUCCUGUCCAACGUUAAUCGGGGCAGGGUGAGUCGACCCCUAAGGCGAGGCCGAAAGGCGUAGUCGAUGGGAAACAGGUUAAUAUUCCUGUACUUGGUGUUACUGCGAAGGGGGGACGGAGAAGGCUAUGUUAGCCGGGCGACGGUUGUCCCGGUUUAAGCAUGUAGGCUGAUUGUCCAGGCAAAUCCGGAUAAUCAAGGCUGAGGUGUGAUGACGAGGCACUACGGUGCUGAAGUAACAAAUGCCCUGCUUCCAGGAAAAGCCUCUAAGCAUCAGGUAACAUCAAAUCGUACCCCAAACCGACACAGGUGGUCAGGUAGAGAAUACCAAGGCGCUUGAGAGAACUCGGGUGAAGGAACUAGGCAAAAUGGUGCCGUAACUUCGGGAGAAGGCACGCUGGUGUGUAGGUGAAGCCCCUGCGGGUGGAGCUGAGACCAGUCGAAGAUACCAGCUGGCUGCAACUGUUUAUUAAAAACACAGCACUGUGCAAACACGAAAGUGGACGUAUACGGUGUGACGCCUGCCCGGUGCCGGAAGGUUAAUUGAUGGGGUUAUCCGUAAGGAGAAGCUCUUGAUCGAAGCCCCGGUAAACGGCGGCCGUAACUAUAACGGUCCUAAGGUAGCGAAAUUCCUUGUCGGGUAAGUUCCGACCUGCACGAAUGGCGUAAUGAUGGCCAGGCUGUCUCCACCCGAGACUCAGUGAAAUUGAACUCGCUGUGAAGAUGCAGUGUACCCGCGGCAAGACGGAAAGACCCCGUGAACCUUUACUAUAGCUUGACACUGAACAUUGAGCCUUGAUGUGUAGGAUAGGUGGGAGGCUUUGAAGCGUGGACGCCAGUCUGCGUGGAGCCAACCUUGAAAUACCACCCUUUAAUGUUUGAUGUUCUAACGUUGGCCCCUUAUCGGGGUUGCGGACAGUGUCUGGUGGGUAGUUUGACUGGGGCGGUCUCCUCCCAAAGCGUAACGGAGGAGCACGAAGGUUAGCUAAUCCUGGUCGGACAUCAGGAGGUUAGUGCAAUGGCAUAAGCUAGCUUGACUGCGAGCGUGACGGCGCGAGCAGGUGCGAAAGCAGGUCAUAGUGAUCCGGUGGUUCUGAAUGGAAGGGCCAUCGCUCAACGGAUAAAAGGUACUCCGGGGAUAACAGGCUGAUACCGCCCAAGAGUUCAUAUCGACGGCGGUGUUUGGCACCUCGAUGUCGGCUCAUCACAUCCUGGGGCUGAAGUAGGUCCCAAGGGUAUGGCUGUUCGCCAUUUAAAGUGGUACGCGAGCUGGGUUUAGAACGUCGUGAGACAGUUCGGUCCCUAUCUGCCGUGGGCGCUGGAGAAUUGAGGGGGGCUGCUCCUAGUACGAGAGGACCGGAGUGGACGCAUCACUGGUGUUCGGGUUGUCAUGCCAAUGGCACUGCCCGGUAGCUAAAUGCGGAAGAGAUAAGUGCUGAAAGCAUCUAAGCACGAAACUUGCCCCGAGAUGAGUUCUCCCUGAGACUUUAAGUCUCCUGAAGGAACGUUGAAGACGACGACGUUGAUAGGCCGGGUGUGUAAGCGCAGCGAUGCGUUGAGCUAACCGGUACUAAUGAACCGUGAGGCUUAACCUU